rnacentral:pre_miRNA from 1 species
CUCACCCAGGGAUCUUGUUAGAAUGCAGAUUCCAAUUCUGCAGGCCUCUGAGAUUCUGCAUUUUAACAAGCUCCCAGGUAAUGUUGG